CACAAUCACACAGAGUGUCCAAUUAAUGUUGCAUGUUUUUCAGAUCUUGGAGGAAACUGGAGUGCCCAGAGAAAACCCACGCAGGGACGGGAGGAACAUGCAAACUUCACGGGCAGGACUGGGAUUUGAACCCCAGUCCUCAGAGUUGUGAGGCCAAUACUUUACAGGUCUCAGGUGCGCUGGACCAUAUAACUUUGGGGAAGAAGUGGGCUACACCAUGAACUUGUCGCCAACAGGUCGCAUGGCACAUACAGAACCUGGAGAAAAACCUCACAAGCAAGGGGAGACCAUGAAAACUCUUCACUGUUCCUGAACCAAAGUCACGCAGUUAUUAUCAAAUGUGUACUUUGCAAGGUCAAAAGUGAAUUCAGGACAUGGCUUUGUGAUAAAGGUUUGAUGAUGCUUGUUUGUUCAAAGUCUCUGAUUGUAUGUUCUCUAUCAGACCGUGCACAUCUAUUCUCUUUGUUCAGAUGAUCCCCAGGGUGCCUUACAAGUCGCGGGGUCAGUGCCUCUUCUGUUUGCUUCUGAACUUGGGAGCAUUCUAUUUAAUUAGGCAGCUAAUCAACCACUAAACACACAAGAAAAUGAGACAAUCUGUAUCUGUUUACUUUCCACACAACAGACACUUUCACACGCACACACACGCACGCACACCCGGACACGCACACGCAGACGCACACACACACGAUAUAUUUGCAUGUAUAGCAGGUUGGGGGGAAAAAAUCAUUUAUCCGGCAGAAAGAUCAAGGUCAUGGCUCCUCCUCAUGCCUGAUUCUGUGAACCAAUUAAUGCGUUGGUUGGUGAAGUUCAGUUGGAGGACGUUCAG